rnacentral:lncRNA from 1 species
CUCAAUAUUCUUCUUGUAUGCUUCUAUCUUUGUGAUUGUAAAAUUGGCCCGGUCAGAAACAUAGCCAAGGCAAAAAAUGCAAAAAACUACCAUCUGUAAUACAAAUCUAUACAAAAGUGGGGUCCCAGAAUCGGCUGGCGGCUGGUGACUUCCGGCUUCACUUUUGUAUAUAUAGAUGCGUUAUCCAGUCUUAUUCAGAUCAAUGGAUCGAGCGACGAGCGAGUUCACAUGUUGAAUCACUUGAAUGUUCGGUUGCAUGAGAAUGUUCAGGGUUGGUAACUUGGCCUUUUUGCGGCCAAAUAACUCGAUUUUGGCUUUUUUAUUUCUUGUUUGGCCUUGAAAAAAAUGUUUGGCCUUUUGGCUCUAUUUUGGCUUUUUUAUCAAGUGACAGGAAAUAUUUUCACUAUUUUUUAGUAUAAUUUAUUAUGAAGGAAUGUUAAACCAUAAAGCAACAUGUAAGAAUGUAAGAAUUGGGUAUCGUUGACAGAGAUAACCUAAUUUUAUUGACACUCAAUAAGAUCUCAGGAAAUUCAGCCAAUCGUAAAGCUGAAAAACUAACCAAUGACAACAUGGUAGCUACGUCUUCGCGGAGGUCCGUCCCGAAAAAUGACAAAAUUGUCUUUAAAAUUUGAAUUUUUUAUCUAUCAACAUACUGCAAAGUCGAAAAUAUUGACAGGGACGCCAGAACGAUAAUAGGGCAAAGGGGGGCGGACGCACAGUAAGGGCACCUUUACUGAAAUUUUUUUUUCACUGCAAAAUUUUUUGGCGACCUCCCCCCCCCCGUCGCCAAAAAAAUUUCGGUCAGUGUACCAUUUUAGGGGUCAAAAAUUUUUUCCGGACAUACAAAAAUUUUCCAUGAAGCCAAAAAUUUUCCCGGAUAUCUUAAAUUUUCGCCAUUUCUUCAAAAUAUUUUUCUAAAUUCCAAAAAUUUCCCAUAAUUUUUAUAAAUAUAAACUAUAAAUUACCUGAAUCUCGUGAUUUUCCUACAAAAAGCAUCGUUGGAAAUGUGAUUUAUCACAUAUUAUUUUACAACUAAAAGGGCACUUCUGCCCCCCCCUAGCAAAAGGCAAGGGGGACAGCCCCCCCCCCCCCUGCCCCCCAGUUCCCGCACCCUGAAUAUUGAUAAGAUUUGGCUCUUUUUUGGCUUUUUUCAUAAAAAUUAAAUUUGGCCUUAUUUAGUAGAAUUUGGCCUUUUUUUAAAGGUCGUUUGGCUUUGUGCAUGCGCGAAAGCCUACCAACCCUGAGAAUGUUUGCUGCCGAAUGUCGUGCAUACUUCACAGUGGUUAUCCAUGGAUUUUACUUGUGAGAAAAUUUAUACUAAGAUCUUUAUAAAGAUUCUUUAUAAAUCUUUUUAAUACUUUGUAAUGUUUUACAUUUACUUAAUAAUGUUAUACAUAUUCAAGUACACGUUUCGAUACAUACGACUGUUCCAAUUUAACAAUUCUGUUGAAAAUAAACAAGUGAUAAACCACAAAAUAUAUAAUUUCCUCUUUUAACCGACAUCGAUCAGUGACAUGUUUUAAGUUCAGCCUACCCAGCAAUUUUAUGGAAUUUGUCCAUUAUUUUCAAUCACAAUGUAUGCUGCCAAAUACACCACACAAAUUAUCAAUGUCAUGUGGCCAGUAAAACAGACAGAUUCUCGGUAUUCUUGAGGUAUUUCCCCAAAAAUUUCACCAUUACGAUAUUUGUCUAAAUUGUCUACAUAAACGUUGAAUCCUUAAUAUUUCUUACCUGUGUUUAUCUUCCUUUAAAUUUUAGUGUAAAAUGUGUUCUUUUUACCUACAUUACGAUAUACAUCUCGACACACAUUACCUAAAAAGUAACUCGAUCAUGCGAUGGCGAUGUCACUCGUUCUUCCGUGGUUUCACUCUCACCGCCUCUAUGUCAGUGGCAGUGUGAAUAGGUUUUUUCAGGGGAUUUUAUCAUUUACCACAUCCGGUUUCAUAAAUUACUACAUUCGGUCUAAAAUUACCCAUUACCACGGUGCCAUAUUUGCCCAUAUUUUUCCCAAAAAUGGGGGGGGGGGGAGGAUUUUUUUGGUCCCCAAAAAUUUUCCGUAGGACCACCUCUUAAAUUAAAGUUCAAAAAAAUUUUUCCGGACAAAUAACAAGUAAAACAUGGCCUGAACCAGUUUUUUUCACCAAAAUCUAUAAAAUUUAGGGCUUUUUCACCAAAAUCUGUA